UUUUUUUUGGAUGUGGACCAUUUUUGAAGUCUUUAUUGAAUUUGUUACAAUACUGCUUCUGUUAUAUGUUUCGAUUUUCUGACCUUGAGGCGCGUGGAAUCUUAGUUCCUCUGCCCGGGUACGAACUUGCACCCCUCAACUGGCAGGGAAGUCCCUAAACCCUUAAAUUAAAGAAGAAUGUCCCUCACCUGCUUCCCCGCAGCAAGGAAACAAGUUCCUGGCCCGCAUAAAGGCCACCCUGAGCCUGCAGGGAGUGAUGAUGGCUCUGCUAUCCACCUGCUGGUGAGGGUCUUCGUGCUCAAAGUGACUGCUUGUUGGGAGAAGGACUCUCUGGUUUCAGUGUCAAUGCCGACUGCCGCAUUCUGGCAGAAGAGACGCUUCCUCCUGGGUCAUGCCCAAGACCUCAGCACAGGCCUGGAUGGAGGCCUGGCGACCGUGCAGACCCGGACACCAAGAGGAGUUUGAGGAAGAGGAAUAUGGAGUUUAAGGAACAAAAUCCACUGAUCUUGUUUGGAUUCUAACUGGCCGUGGCUUUACUUGGCUGGUGUUCUAUGUCCAGGGGUGGGGGUGCAAAAACAGAGGUCCUGGGCCUGCCCUGUCUCUUCUUAUCUGAGUCCAUUUGUUAAAAGUAAACUUAAAAAAUCUCUUGCUUAAAGACACAUAUAACACGGGAUGCGUGAGUAGAGAGUGAGGAUCUGAAAGGUUCACUCCAGCUGUGCUGUCCCAGCCUGUGGCAGGCGCAUCAUCUCCAUGUUCUCACUUGAGCAGGGCUCAGUAACACCACCGACCUGGACUUCCCCGCGGGAGUGACUUCUAUCAGCCGGAGGGUCCAUCCUCAUUUGGAAGCUGUGUCUUCAUCUCUCAGCUUACAGUGUUGAGGGAGACUCUUGUUGGCGAGCUUGUGAACUCAUUGCCCAGCACAAGUCGUCCAGUACUCUGGGUGCCAGUGGGCGCGGGGUUGGGGGAAGGAGAUAAGAUAGGGAAGUGGGAGGCUGGUGGUGGGAAUCCCGGGGUUUGUGGGUCUGCCCCUUUAAGAGACCGCCGUGGGCAGCCAAUUAAACAAGUACAGGUUGAAAGCAAGUUGGGUAAAGACCACAUUGGUCUCAAGGAAGAGAGAAACAUCUCUUCCCAGAACUCAUGACCCCUGGGGCCUGUUUAGCCUCCAUCCUUCCUUGCACAAUACAUGAUCUUCUAGACAUGAUUCAUUCAUGGGAGAGGCUGUAAAACCUCUGCAGAAAUGAAAUACUGUGACUUUGCUGUUCUUUUAUGGAAAGUCUUGGUUGUAUUGAUUAAUUAGUUAAUUAACUCAUCAGCGUCCAUAUGUUUAUCGAGUGCUAUCUACGUGCCAAGCCCUCUGCUCUCCUCCUCAGUAGACAGAGGAUGUCAGAGCCUGGACCACAUGUGGCUGAGGGAUAAGGCAAGGGUCCCAACACCUGGUGAGAAUUUUCUAAUCUCCCUGGCACUGUCUAGGAGCUUUUCACAUAUUAUCUCAUUUAAUCCCCCAAGUGUUAGGUGUUAUAACUUCCCUGUUGUAGGGAUUAAACCAAGGCUCAGAAAGGUAAGUAGCUUUUCCAAGUCACACAGCUAUUAAGCGGAGUGACCAGGAAUUACACCCAAGAGAGUCUUUUACAACGCUUGUGCUUUUAACACUACUUUUAAAAAAUGAAGUACACUUGAUUUACAAAGUUGUGUUCGAUUCAGGUGUACAGCAAAGUGGUUCAGUUAUCCAUAUAUACAUUUUGUCAGAUUCUUUUCCAUUACAGGUUAUUACUAGAUACUGAAUAUAGUUUCCUGUGCUAUAUAGCGGGUCCUUUAGAGCUUCCCUCAUAGCUCAGUUGGUAAGGAAUCUGCCUGCAAUGCAAGAGACUCUAGUUCGAUUCCUGGGUUGGGAAGAUCCACUGGAGAAGGGAUAGGCUACCCACUCCAGUAUUCUGGCCUGGAGAACUUCAUGGACAGUAUAGUUCAUGGGGUUGCAAAGGGUCGGACACUACUGAGCGACUUUCAGUUUCACUUUUAAAAAAAAUCUAUUUUAUAUAAAAUGGCAUGCAUCUGUUAAUCCAAAAUUCCUAAUUUGGAAUAAAUUAGGAGUUUAGCACUGUUUCUAAUGGCCU
ensembl:lncRNA